rnacentral:misc_RNA from 1 species
GGUAUAUAUUUUUUAAAUUACUUGUAGGAUAGAGGCUUUUUAUCUGUGUAGAUUUUGUGUGCUACAUAUUUUAUGAGAAAUAGGAGGAAAAAAAUGCAGAAAGUUUUGGGGGAUUGUGCUCUUUGUUAUUUGUUUUCUAAGAUGCUUGCAGUGCUAAUAAGAAAAAAAAUUAUUUCUUAGAAAAUGAAUGAAAAACAGUAGAAAAAAUGUGCAAUAACAUGUUUUGCUUGGAAUAUGGUUGCUCAGAUAUCUUUUUCCAUUAAUGGUAAAAAAAAUAUUAAUAUGUCAUAAAAUAAAACCAAAAUGAUCUUCAUUGCUGUAUUAUAUGAGUGGUUAUGUGCAGUAUUUCUUCAGCAUAAUCUCUGUUUUACUCUAGCUAUUAUCAUUUUUGUCAUUUCCAUUUACAUCAUUUUCAUUAUGAUAAAAUUAUGAAAUGCUAAUACAAAAAUAUGAAAAAUGCAUAAAAAUGAUUAAAAUAAAAACAGUUUAAAUAUU